rnacentral:lncRNA from 1 species
GCAGGGCCACCAUAAGUGGCUGGUUCAAAGGUACAGUGGUGGCUGAGUCCUCAGUGGCCUGGCCAACCGUAAUUAAUCCACAGCAUGGUUUAGAGGAAGCUUCAGAAUCAAUUUGUGUGGUCAGGGCUGCCUUGGAUUAAGAAUGCAAUAUCCGUUAUCUGCUUGAUCCUUCACAACCCCCAGGAGGGACACAGCACCUUCUGUUUUCCACUUGCUCCCUCCUCCAGAUCUCUUCCAGCGCCGGAGGAAAGGAAGCUCAGUUGGAGCAGGAGUGCAGCUAACAACAGGACUUGGCUUGCUCUGGGCUCAAGAGAGAGGCCUUGUUGAGGUUCACCAGUAUCUGGAGCAAACCACAGUCUGGCCGAUUUUGGGCACAGGCCGUCAUUCAGAAAGUGGAGGAGUUUAAUUACAGGCAAAUUGUGAAUAAUGUGAUUCUUUCAUUCCUGUAACUGUGACUUCCAG